CCUUGAUAGGCAUAUGUUUGCAACAAAUGAGAUCAAUUUGUGGAAUUAUCUUGGUUCAAAAACACAUACAUAUUUAAAAGAUUUAUCUGUGCUGAGCUUGGAAAAUUCUGAAAGACAGCAGAAACUUCCUGUACCUUGACACAAGACUGUCAACGCCGUCAGCGCUCUCGUUAAAUAAUAUCUUGAGUACUCAAGUUACAGACACUUGCUGACGCUGCAUCAGCUGCUGAAGCGUUAAAGCUGAAAUGGAUGAACGAGCGUUUAGAGCCAAAGUUGAAGCUGCCAGAGCUUCUGAAGCUGCAAAGUAUGAAAAAUUAUUGCAGGAAGAAAGAGCAAGGUCUGCAAAAGCAAUAGCAGAUGCUAAAGCAAGAGCUGAAAAAGCUGCAACGGAUGAAAAAAUGAGAAGUCUAGAAGAACGAAACAGAAUUCUUGAAAAUAAAACCAGAGAAUUAGAAAGCAGAGGAAAAGAAGAAAAAUGUAUAAUUAUGUAAAGAACUGUAUAAGAUCAUACCGCAAGUGAUAACACAAUUUUUAUAAGUUUGCUACAAUCUGUAAUGUUUAUUCACUAGUGUAACAACGGUUAUUGUUACGUGUUGUGCUUGGUCAAUUAAAUGUUUUUUAGAGA